CACGUUCAUCAUCCUUAUGGGGUGACGGAAGUAGACGAAAGUCGAAGGAACGCAUG
rnacentral:ncRNA from 10 species